rnacentral:rRNA from 1 species
UACGAAGGGGGCUAGCGUUGCUCGGAAUCACUGGGCGUAAAGCGCACGUAGGCGGCUUUUUAAGUCAGGGGUGAAAUCCCUCGGCUUAACCGGGGAACUGCGUCUGAUACUGGAUGGCUUGAAUCCGGGAGAGGGAUGCGGAAUUCCAGGUGUAGCGGUGAAAUGCGUAGAUAUCUGGAGGAACACCGGUGGCGAAGGCGGCAUCCUGGACCGGCAUUGACGCUGAGGAGCGAAAGCCAGGGGAGCAAACGGG